CCUCUACUCUGGCUUAGGCAGGGAUGGAUUCUCCUGACCGUCCCUUUUCUAACAGGAAUAUUGGUCUCCAGGCCCUGCUCCAUUGGAAUAGGCCAGGCCCAGGAAUGCUUGGCCGCCUGGGCGAUGGAACCACACAGCACGGGCUCUGUUAACCCGCACACAGUGCACAACAUGGGCCAGGAGCGAGCCAGCAAUCCUCACACACCGCUGUAUUAGCGCUGACAAGAUACCUUACAAUACUGGCAACGGAACUGCAUCUAGUCACCCCAGCGUAUAAGCAGGACUUAAAACCCACAAUGAGCUAGGUUCCUGAUGAGACAGCAC